UCGGCCGGACAACGUGGAUCUCUUGAUUCAGCACAGACCGGGUAAACAGAAAUUUAUUAAUCCAUUUACACACGAUGAUGCUUUAAACAGUCCUACCACAGCUUUUAAGAUGAUAUUUUAGUAGUCGAUGCAAGUGCUUCUAAAAUUACGCGUAGCAAGACUCGAUGCUUUUCCGAAUUAGUUUGUUUAUCUGGUAGACUGUGAACUCGAUUGAAAAAAUAGAACUAAGAAGAGAAGAGUAGAACAGGGAUUCGUUUCAUCCGUUAAAGAUGCAUGAACAUCCGCAGUAUACUUACGAGAAAGCUCGUAAGCUUGCCACUCGUUAAUAUCGAGUUCUUCGAAACGUUUCUCCAAGAGAUAUCGAUAGAAUAGAAAACGAAGUCACAAGUAACAGGAUUUGGCUCAGUUUCAAUCACCUAACUCGCUAUCGUGGAAAAUUCAGGGUGGAAAAAUACCACGCUAUAUGGAUAGAUGAUAUUUCAAAUAUAUUUAGCUAUGUAUGAAAGUAUUUACGAAAUAUCGGAGCAAGUAUAUUUAUAUUUGCUCAAGCUUGAACAUCACCUUGAUCCAAAGAACCAAAAUACAUCCAAGACCAGUCAACGCUUGAUCCUAUCUAUUUACUUGUGAUCAAAGAUAAUUCUAUGCUCUGUAGAAAUAGCAAUUUAUCAUGUUAGAUCAACAGACCGAUUGUAUUAAAAAAUCCACGUACAUGACAAACCAGGCGAUGCUUCCGGGAGAGAAUUCGCGUUUUCGACGAAAGGUCACGUAAUUCUUCGUGGUAAGCCGAACAAAAUAGCUUGAGCCGAUUGUUCCCAAGGCUUUCCAUUCUAUCCUUUUUCCACGUCGUUGGUCGAUUUCAAAUCGAUAUGAACAUUCUCGAAAUUGAAACCAUACCAUAUCGAGCAACUUUUACCGUCAACAUGCCGGGGAAACCCGCAUUCUUAGCGCAUGACUGUCUUUUAUCGGAUACUGAAGCCCGAGGAGUCAAGCCGCUAUUAUUUUUCCACACAAAUCUUUUCGAAAUAUUUAUCACCGACUUCGUAAAAUACAACGACAACGAGUGAUGUAACCAGUUAUUUCCUAUCGAUUCGAUGCUAUAUACAAAAGAGGUGUAUAGAACUGUCGGUAUUAAAGACACUUUAGCAACAGGUUAAUAAACCAUGGGACUGUAUAAUCGUAUUUAUUCUGAAAUUAAACGCGGUGUUUCGUCCGAUGACUCUUUGCGUAGCCCGAAAUUUAUCCUUCGAUCGAGGCUCCCACUUGCUACGUCAACAUAAUUAGUUGGACCGUAAUAAUCAUAAGGAACUGUCGUAAAAUUAAGCAAUUCGAUUUAACCAUUAAGACCAUUAAGUGGUAUAAAAUACCUUCGAGUCAAAAUGUUCCUUAUGGUUAUUGUUCCAUCAGGUAAAAAGUAGGGAAACGUGGGUUUCCCAUGUUUCCCGAGACUUGCAAGCGACCGGUGGUGGGACGACCAACACCCAGCAACAGUUUUCCUCUGCGACAGCGUCGUUACCGAACUUUACUGGAUCUACGACUACAGAACAGUCAACAUCUCUGCACUGGGUUCACUACUUUAACUCAGUCAACAUAUAUCUAAUUAAUAUGUAUAUAUACGCAACGAGCGUAAUCAUCUUGUCUACAAUAGUUCUUGGUAUAAAGAGUACAUUAUAACCUGUUA